GUGCCUCCCUGGAGAGCGCAGGGGAAGGGGCAGUCAGACAGCGGAUGUCUCUCCUGUCUCACCCAUGCCUCCACCACCUGCAGGCUGUCAUUUCCUCCAUUUCUGAUGUAGGGGUCAGCUCCACAGCACGCACACAGCCGGGAAGCUGCCCACACGCCUGUGCACACACACACGUUCCUCCUGGGAUACGGCCUCUACAGUGAGAGCCCCACGGCUUCUCCAGGCCUCGGGCUCUGGCUUAAGCCCUGUGACCUAACUGCGGAGUGUUUCUUGUCAUAACCAAGUUCUCUUCUUUUUAAUUCCAGUUAUGCAAAGGGUGACCUGGACAUAUCUUACAUCACAUCCAGAAUUGCAGUGAUGUCAUUCCCAGCAGAAGGUGUGGAGUCAGCGCUCAAAAACAACAUCGAAGAUGUGCGGUUGUUCCUGGACUCCAAGCACCCAGGGCACUAUGCCGUCUACAACCUGUCCCCGAGGACCUACCGGCCCUCCAGGUUCCACAACCGGGUCUCCGAGUGUGGCUGGGCAGCACGGCGGGCCCCGCACCUGCACACCCUGU
rnacentral:sRNA from 1 species